rnacentral:rRNA from 1 species
AGUGAACGCUGGCGGUAGGCCUAACACAUGCAAGUCGAACGGCAGCACAGUAAGAGCUUGCUCUUACGGGUGGCGAGUGGCGGACGGGUGAGGAAUACAUCGGAAUCUACUUUUUCGUGGGGGAUAACGUAGGGAAACUUACGCUAAUACCGCAUACGACCUACGGGUGAAAGCAGGUGAUCUUCGGACCUUGCUCGAUUGAAUGAGCCGAUGUCGGAUUAGCUAGUUGGCGGGGUAAAGGCCCACCAAGGCGACGAUCCGUAGCUGGUCUGAGAGGAUGAUCAGCCAAAAUGGAACUGAGACACGGGCCAGACUCCUACGGGAGGCAGCAGUGGGGAAUAUUGGACAAUGGGCGCAAGCCUGAUCCAGCCAUACCGCGUGGGUGAAGAAGGCCUUCGGGUUGUAAAGCCCUUUUGUUGGGAAAGAAAAGCAGCAGGUUAAUACCCCGCUGUUCUGACGGUACCCAAAGAAUAAGCACCGGCUAACUUCGUG